UCAGCACCUUGGGAGCAUCUCCAGGGGCAGGAGAGCCCCGGCAGGGUCAGUUCAGUGGGAGUUUUCUGUGUUUAUUAUCAGUCUGUGAUCCUUUCCCGUUCCAGGCCGAGUGCUGGGAGCCCUGUUUGGAGGCAGAAUUGCUUUGUUCCAUCUCUCAGGGCUGCUUUUAUUCCCACAGGGCUCGUGGUUGUGCCUGGCAGCCCAGGGGGAGAGCGGCUGCCCGGACCUGGCCGAGUUCCCCACGCUGGAGGAAGGGCUGCUGUCCCCAGCUCAGCCUUCUCCUGCAGCUCCAGCCCCUGCCUCGCCACUGGAUCUCCAGGAGAGCCGCUUCUCCCCGUGCCUGCCCCUGCUGCUGAGCCCAGCGCGGGCCGAGACGUUCCUGCAGGGAUCCCAGAUGGAUUUCCUUCCCCUCAGAGGAAUCCCGGAUGUUUCUGGAGCAUCCCUGGAGCCAUCAGAGCCUUCCCACAUCGCUGGGAGCGCAGCCCUGAGGGGCCCAGCCCUUCCCAGUCCAUCCCAGCACUCCCAGUCCGUGGGACACGCGGAUCCCGGAGCCGCUUCCCCGAGCUCCCUGUCUGGGGAGCCGCUGGCCAGGGGGGACAGGGACACCGAGCAGGAGGCACCAGGGCCCCGGAGCAGGGGACAGCCAGCACAGGCAGCUCCAGAGGAGGGGCUGGGAAAGGGGCUGGAGCAGCCCUGGAGCACGGCUGGGAAGGAUGGACACCCCUCUGGACACCCCU